GCUGGGGGCGGUGCCACUCUGACAGCCAGCCCCUGCCCUCCGGGGAUGCCAGUCCAGUUUGGGAGAAAGACCAGCGAAUACGGAAUGAGAAACACGCAUAGGUGGCGCGCGGCUGGCAAGUGGCCCAGGCGGGGUGUGGAUCAAGGACGUCGGGCUCAAGCCAGAUCCCCUUCUGUGGGGCUGUGCUCUACGGCGCGGCUCGCUCCCUCACUUGGAGGUCCCCGGGGAACGUGUGGCACACUCAGCACGUCCUGGAGGCUUGAGAGGUGAGCCCAGGUGGCCAUCCCCCACGGAAGCCUCCUCGGGCCAGCACACGGCAAAGGGGGCAGGGUGAGAAAGAGAGCCGCCUUCCCCUCUUGUGCUUAACUGGGGUGGGGCGGGGCGGGGGGACUUCAAAACCCAGACUGGCAUUACCUUUGAUUUCUCAGGAGAUCAGAGAGCGGCGCUCGUGGAUAUCUACGCGUUGUUUGCGUUAUUGUGAUAGACAGCUACUCCACCUCCCCAAGUCUUCAAUGGCCUGUGAGACACAACAAAAUAAAAACACAGAAGAGG